rnacentral:rRNA from 1 species
AUGGGAGAGCAAGGCCAGCAGAGGUCGCCAGAGUGCACCGUGUUCGAGAGCAAGUGCAGCAUAUCCGCCGCGGACAAGGACGACUCAGCAGGCCCCAGCAGGAGCAGCUCCGAGUCAGACGACGCCGAGUACUCGAACCCGGUGGACGUUGAGGCCAGCAUCCGCGGGAACACGGUGCUCCUGAAAAUCUGCUGCAAGGAGAGGAGGGGGGUGCUAGUGAUGGUGCUCUCCGAGCUCGAGAACCAGGGCCUCUCCAUCAUAACCACCAACGUCCUACCGUUCACGGACUCCUCGCUCAACAUCACCAUCACCGCAAAGGCAAGCCCUCUCUGCCCUCCACUGCUCAGAAGAUUACUUCCAAGAGGAAGAAGAAUGCUCUCUUAG